GAUGAAGAACGUAGCGAAAUGCGAUAAGUAAUGCGAAUUGCAGAAUUCAGUGAGUCAUCGAAUCUUUGAACGCACAUUGCGCCCCCUGGUAUUCCGGGGGGCAUGCCUGUUCGAGCGUCAUUUCACCACUCAAGCCUCGCUUGGUAUUGGGCAACGCGGUCCGCCGCGUGCCUCAAAUCGACCGGCUGGGUCUUCUGUCCCCUAAGCGUUGUGGAAACUAUUCGCUAAAGGGUGCUCGGGAGGCUACGCCGUAAAACAAACCCAUUUCUAAGGUUGACCUCGGAUCAGGUAGGGAUACCCGCUGAACUUAAGCAUAUCAAUAAGCGGAGGA
rnacentral:misc_RNA from 1 species